UACGUAGGGCGCAAGCGUUGUCCGGAAUUAUUGGGCGUAAAGAGCUCGUAGGCGGUUUGUCGCGUCUGCUGUGAAAACGCGAGGCUCAACCUCGCGCCUGCAGUGGGUACGGGCAGACUGGAGUGCGGUAGGGGAGAUUGGAAUUCCUGGUGUAGCGGUGGAAUGCGCAGAUAUCAGGAGGAACACCAAUGGCGAAGGCAGAUCUCUGGGCCGUAACUGACGCUGAGGAGCGAAAGCAUGGGGAGCGAACAGG
rnacentral:rRNA from 1 species